UGUAGGCAAAUCCGCUUUCUGAGCUGACCCUAACAGUACCGAGCGUUCUUGAACAAUCGGAUAAUGGAUGUAAUCAUGCUCCCUAGAAAAUCCGCUAAGCGUUAAUUCGUACGGCACCCGUACCACAAACGGACACACGUGGUCAAGUAUAGAGUACUAAGGCGCUCGAGUGAUUCAUGGCUAAGGAACUAGGCAAAAUAGUCCUGUAACUUUGGGAGAAAGGACGCCACUAGCGAUAGUGGCCGCAGAGAAAUGGCCCAGGCGACUGUUUAACAAAAACAUAGGGCUUUGCAAAAUCGAAAGAUGAGGUAUAAGGCCUGACACCUGCCCGGUGCCGGAAGGUAAAGAGGAGAAGUCAGCUCACGCGAAGCUUUGAAUUGAAGCCCCGGUAAACGGCGGCCGUAACAAUAACGGUCCUAAGGUAGCGAAAUUCCUUGUCGGGUAAGUUCCGACCUGCACGAAUGUGUAACGAUCUGGGCACUGUCUCAGCCAUGAGCUCGGUGAAAUUGUAGUAUCGGUGAAGAUGCCGAUUACCCGCAACGGGACGGAAGACCCCGUGAACCUUUACUGCAACUUAACGUUGAAUCUGGGUGGUCGAUGUGUAGGAUAGGCCGGAGGCUGUGAAGGGUGGACGCCAGUCUGCUUGGAGCCGUCGUUGAAAUACGGCCCUUCGAUCAUUUGGGUUCUAACUCCCUCAUGGAGGACACCGUUUGGUGGGUAGUUUGACUGGGGUGGUCGCCUCCAAAAGUGUAACGGAGGCUUCCAAAGGUACCCUCAGGCCGAUUGGUAACCGGUCGUAGAGUGUAAUGGUAUAAGGGUGCUUGACUGAGAGACCGACAAGUCGAUCAGGUAGGAAACUAGGGCAUAGUGAUCCGGUGGUUCCGCAUGGAAGGGCCAUCGCUCAAAGGAUAAAAGGUACUCCGGGGAUAACAGGCUGAUCGCCCCCAAGAGCUCAUAUCGACGGGGCGGUUUGGCACCUCGAUGUCGGCUCGUCACAUCCUGGGGCUGGAGAAGGUCCCAAGGGUUCGGCUGUUCGCCGAUUAAAGUGGCACGCGAGCUGGGUUCAGAACGUCGUGAGACAGUUCGGUCCCUAUCUGUUGUGGGCGUUGGAGGUUUGAGAGGAUCUGACACUAGUACGAGAGGACCGUGUUGGACGGACCGCUGGUUUACCGGUUGUCCCGCCAGGGGCACAGCCGGGUAUCUACGUCCGGAUCGGAUAAGCGCUGAAAGCAUCUAAGCGCGAAGCCGGCCUCAAGAUGAGACCUCCUUAGAGGGUCGUUGUAGACGACGACGUUGAUAGGCCGCACGUGUAAAGCCGGCAACGGCAAAGCUGAGCGGUACUAAUUACCU
rnacentral:rRNA from 1 species